rnacentral:siRNA from 1 species
AGGAUAUAGUCAUAUAGAGGGUAC